AAGGAUUUAGGUUAAAAUAAAACCCAUAGCCUUCAAAGCUAUAAAUAAAGAAGGACUUACUUUAAGCCUUA
rnacentral:tRNA from 1 species